rnacentral:rRNA from 1 species
AGUGGCGAACGGGUGAGUAAAGCAUCGGAACGUGCCCAGUAGUGGGGGAUAGCCCGGCGAAAGCCGGAUUAAUACCGCAUACGACCUAAGGGUGAAAGGGGGGGAUCGCAAGACCUCUCGCUAUUGGAGCGGCCGAUGUCAGAUUAGCUAGUUGGUGGGGUAAAGGCCUACCAAGGCGACGAUCUGUAGCUGGUCUGAGAGGACGACCAGCCACACUGGGACUGAGACACGGCCCAGACUCCUACGGGAGGCAGCAGUGGGGAAUUUUGGACAAUGGACGAAAGUCUGAUCCAGCCAUGCCGCGUGCGGGAAGAAGGCCUUCGGGUUGUAAACCGCUUUUGUCAGGGAAGAAAUCUUCUGGGUUAAUAACUCGGGAGGAUGACGGUACCUGAAGAAUAAGCACCGGCUAACUACGUGCCAGCAGCCGCGGUAAUACGUAGGGUGCAAGCGUUAAUCGGAAUUACUGGGCGUAAAGCGUGCGCAGGCGGUUAUGCAAGACAGAUGUGAAAUCCCCGGGCUCAACCUGGGAACUGCAUUUGUGACUGCAUAGCUGGAGUGCGGCAGAGGGGGAUGGAAUUCCGCGUGUAGCAGUGAAAUGCGUAGAUAUGCGGAGGAACACCGAUGGCGAAGGCAAUCCCCUGGGCCUGCACUGACGCUCAUGCACGAAAGCGUGGGGAGCAAACAGGAUU